rnacentral:lncRNA from 1 species
CUUAAGAUCAAGAGUCACAUGCUCUUAACAACCGAGGCCCCCUCAGGACUAAAUCCUUUUUUAAGGAAUCUGUUAAACCAAAUCCAUAGCAAUAUUUAUUUUUCAUCUCAAGAAAAGAGUUGAAAAGAAGAAAAAAAUGAGUUUUAUAAUCGUGGGUGAGGCCUGGGGGGCAAUGAGAGUACUAUAUGGUACUUAUUCAUCCUUUUAUUCCCAUCACCUUAUGUAAUCCUGACGGCAACCUUAUGAUGUAGGUUAAGCAGGUAUUAUUAUCGUCAUUUUACAGAUGAGGAAACUAAGGCUCAGAGAAAUUGUGAUUCGUUUAAUAUCUUAUCUUCACAUUCAACAGAGCUGGGAGGAGAGCUCUUGUCUUUCUACUUUACCAGUGCAUAGGGAGCUAUAGUUAUUGUGGUUUAUCUUUUAAAACCAAACUACACACAAACAUCCUCUCUGCACAAGCACACCCUGCUCUGCAAGUCUUCCUUUAUCCCUCACUGGGCUGCCUCAGUGUUCCCACAUGGAAACUGACCCACUGACCUUGGGGGCCGGCAAACUGGGGAUUAGGUCCCAAUUUACAUCUCUGUGACUUUGGACAAGUAACCCCCUAAGGCUUGGCUUCUUCCUCUGUCAGAUGGGAAUAAGAAUACUCACUGCCAAGGGCCAUCCUGAGGCUUAAAGGGAGGUCAUACAGAUAAAGCGCUUAAAUACAAAGUCUGACACAAAGUCAACAUCUAUUAAAUGACAGCUUUCAUCACAGUGAGGGCAACCCCAGAAGAAGUGACCUGGGACUGGGGUGGAACUGAGGGUUACACAGCCUAGCCUGUGGUAGCGGUAGCGUGUGGCUCAUAGGUUCAGAUUUGACUCCCCAUUGAAAGAGUUCAGGAUCACUGGGAACAGACUGUACAAAACAAGAACCUAGCCAUGUACUGAGAUUUUCACAUCUGUAAGCAAAGCAUGUACCCAGGCAUAUAUACACAAACGUGUAUACAAUGGAGAAACAUACGCUUUCCCACAUUAAAGCAAACUUCAAGAUACAUUGCUAAAAGUCACAAAAUCAAUGGAUUUCUUUUUUACCACAAACACCACCAAAAAUAGAGAAAGAGUCACUCUGAUAGGGCUCUAGAUCUACUACAGGUAAAAUCCCAACCCUGAAAGUACCCACAGACAGUAAAAAUCUGAACAAUUUUCUUUAAGUCUACAAAUUAGUUGUGACCCCCCAACUGUAAUAAGACUGUAGCUGUUGAAAGCUCUUCGACGCAUUUCUUAGCGUGGAAGUUCAGGAAGACUCCAGGGACACGGAUAUUGAUGGGUAACAAUAAUUAACCAACCUUAAAAAAAAAUGGAAGCCACUAAUAGAAUGUAUCAAGGAGCUAAAUAUUCCUCAGUAAUAAUUCCAUAAUGAGCACAGAUUCUGGAGUUGAACUGUCUGGGUUUAAAUGCAGAUUGUACUACUUCUUGCGUGUGAUUUCUAGCAAAUUAUUUAAUCUCUCUGUGCUUCAGUUUCCUACCUAUAGAGGGGGAACAAGUGGGGCCCUUGGGUGGUUCAGUCCUCCAGGCAUCUGACUUCAGCCCAGGUCACGAUCUCAGGGUCCUGGGAUCGAGUCCUGUAUUGAGCUCUGUGCAGAGUCUACUUGAGGAGUCUCUUUUUCUCUCUCCUCCCUCUGCUACUUUCCCCGUGCUUGCUCUCUCUCUCAAAUAAAUAAAUAAAUAAAAUCUUUUUAAAAAGGGGGUGAGUGAACAAGAGCACAUACUUCAUAAGGUUUGCUAUGAAUAUUAAAAGAGGUAGCGGGGGAUCCCUGGGUGGUGCAGCGGUUUGGCGCCUGCCUUUGGCCCAGGGCGCGAUCCUGGAGACCCGGGAUCGAAUCCCACGUCGGGCUCCCGGUGCAUGGAGCCUGCUUCUCCCUCUGCCUAUGUCUCUGCCUCUCUCUCUCUCUCUCUCUCUCUCUGUGACUAUCAUAAAUUAAAAAAAUAAUAAUAAAUAAAUAAAUAAAUAAAUAAAUAAAUAAAUAAAUAAGGUAGCGGAUAUAAAACUUUGAGAAAGGCACUUAACACAUGGUAAUGCGUCAGUGAAUGUACUACGAUUAUUGUGUGUAUAUAGAAAACAUGCCUAUUUAACAAAUACUUCCUGCUCUAAUCCUAGAUCUAUCCUACCUCAAUGCCAAGCUCAGUAUUUCCACCCAGACAACAAUGAUGUGAAAUUGGAUUUAUCUUGCCUUCCCUGCUUCCAAAGGCCUGAUACUGUCACUACCACAGAGUAGUUCCUCUGGAAAUAUUUGAUGAGAGAAUGAAAUGAUGAUAGCAGUAUUUUAAAGCAUUUUGAAAAUAUGUCAUGAAAAGCAUGAUAUUCACUGUGAUCCUCAAGGGUAAGGGAGAAAAAGGAGGUAUUCUAAGCUUAGAUGGUCUCUCCUCCAUGCGAUAAGAGGGAAAUGAAAAAGCAAAUACUGCAAGGUGCACUGUAAUUAAAUUGUGUCAAUUUCCCAGCAUGAUGAUAACGGAAAACCCCCUCAUGGAGCCAAGGCUGGUCCCCUAUUCAUCUGUCCUCUAUUCAUCUUUUAAAAAACAAACCCCUCUCUCACACAAAUUCUCUCUCACCAAUGUACAUGAGCUGUUAAGAAUGCACAUGAGGGGUGCCUGGGUGGGUCAGUGAGUUAAACAUCGGCCUUCGGCUCAGGUCACCAUCCCGGGUCCUGGCACCGAGUCCCAUAUCGCUUUCCCUGCUCAGCAGGGAGCCUGCUUCUCCCUCUGCCCCUCCACCCACUCAUGCUCUCUCUCUCCCGCGCUCUCUCAAAUAAAUAAAACCUUUAAAAAGAAAAGAAUUCACAUGAUAUAAAAUCACAGAAAAGCAAUAGGAGCAACAAUUUUUUUUUCUAGCUUUCACCAAUGUUCGCCCCCCCCCCCCCCCCCCCCCCCAAACAGUAGGCAACAGAGAGUGCAGGAUUUCAACAGACUUUACAGUUGCUGUCUGACAGCAAAAUCCUGCGGAGGAGGUUAGGGCUGAUGCUUCCCAUGGGGAGCCCAUGCCAAGGAAGAUUCAUAAUCAGACAAGUGAGAACUGCCCAAGAGUUACAAUUAAAGCUCUGGUCGAAGCACACAGAAACUCCAGGCUUCAGACGAAGUCUUCCCCACAGAAAGCUGAAAUUACCCCCCAGUGUGCAGAGGCUGCACUGGUACAGAAGCAAAAGAUCUUGUUCUCUUUAGGGGGAAAACCAUGAUCAACUGUUCCAACAUAAGGUUAAAUGGCAAAGUAUCUAUGAUAUAUUAAGCUUCCACCCAGAAAGAGAAAGUUGUAGACCAACACAAGUAAUGAGUCCAUUCAAUUAAAUAAAACCAAAACCAAACCUUCUCUAUUACCCCUCUAUCUCUCUGUAAUUUAUACAUUAAAAUUUCUGGACAAAAAUGUAUGCCAAAUUGCUAAUACUGAUCACCACUGGAAAGUAAGUAGAGAUUUUCACUACUAUUUAGCUUUUCAUCAAAGAAAAAAAACAGGGGUGCCUGGGUGGCUCAGUGGUUGAGUGUCUGCCUUUGGCUGAGGUCAUGAUCCUGGGGUCUUGGGAUCAAGUCCUGCAUCAGACUCCCAGCAGGGAGCCUGCUUCUCCCUCUGUGUCUCUGCCUCUCUCUCUCUGUCUCUCUUAUGAGUAAAUAAAUAAAAAUCUUUAAAAUAAAAAUUUAAAAAACCAGAUUAAUAACCUCAAUAGCCAUUACUCAGGUUUAGCAAUCAUCAAUUCUGACCAAUUUUGCUUCAUCAAUGCCCUCACUUCCUCUCUUCUGCAUUAUAUUGACUUGAAUCACAGAUAUCACACUAUUUCAUCUGUAAAUAUUUCAGUAUGUAUUCCUAAGACAAAGACUCCUCUUUAAAAACAAUACCAUUAUUAUAUGUAAAAAACCUUCAUGCUUCAAAUAUCCAGUGCUUAAAUUUCUUAUAAAUCCUAGGCUUUUUAAAAAAAAUUUAUUUGAACCAGUUUUCAUAUAAGGUCCACAUACAGGGAUGGAAUAUCUAUCUUUUAAGUAUUUCAGUCUGUCAAUCUUUCUUCCAUCUUGUUUUCUUGUAAUUUAUUUGCUACAUUUUAAGUUUCAUAUAUCUAUAAAUAUAAAACUGGCCACAAAUGUGGAUUUUUUUGAUAAGUCAAGAAGGGCAGGGGAAGGGCUGACAACACAGCACUGAGUUCCUUCACUUCUCAAAACUCAGAAAAGUUAGCAGUGGUAAAAGGUGCAGCUUCAUUAGAUGGGUCUUUCUCUGUCCUCUAAAAUGCAAUUAGAUAAGAGCAUACCAAUAUACAAAGAUUGUUUAAAAAGUAAAUUUACAAAAGCAGUGGAUUAUCAUCAGUAGUAUAGUAACAAAGACGGUGGUGCAAGAGGUCGUGAGCAAUAUCAUCGGAGAUCCAUGUGAAUCAACAGCUAAAUGAGCUUAGUUUAUAUAAGUCUCUCUCUCUCUCUUUCUCUCUCUCUCUUUUAAAGAUUUUAUUUAUUUGAGAGAGAGGAAGCAUGAGCAGGGGGAGGCGAAGAAGCAGACUUGCCCGCUCAACAGAAGCUUGAUAGG